GCGUGGCGCGAAAUUGUCCAUCGAGGAAUUUUACACUGUCGUCCUGCACUGUGGCUUGCUGCCGCUCGCCGCGUUGCCGCGGGAAGUGGACGCGAGGGUCGCGGCGGUGGCUCAAGGAAAAGAACCGCGGCGUGCCAGGGAGAGCAGAUUCCUACCAGUGACUAGGGAUCAACCGCGGAUGAAGUGCUGGUAAAUCCAGCGGCUGUCCGGCCAGUUCACACUAUACGGUAGCUGUGGUCAGGUCGCCGUUGCAAACUACAGCAGUGGGU
rnacentral:misc_RNA from 1 species